UGAAAAAUUUUUAAAUAGCUGCAAUAUUUUAAUUGUACAAAGGUAGCAUAAUCAUUUGUCUUUUAAUUAAAGAAUUGAAUGAAAGAUUAAAUAAAAUAUUAACUAUAUAAAUUUAAUAAAAAUUUAAAUUUUAUUUUUAAGUAAAAAAUCUUAAAUAAAAUUAUUAGACGAUAAGACCCUAUAGAACUUUAUAUACUAUAAAUUUAAAUAAAAAUUUUAUUAUUUAAAUUAAUAAUUAUAUUAUAUUAUAUUGGGGGUAUUAAAAAAUUAAAAUAAUUUUUUUAUAAAAAUUAUCAUUAAAUUUAUGAAAUAUUAAAAGAGU
rnacentral:rRNA from 1 species